GAGGCACCAAAAUACAGUUUGUGGGAGGCAGGCGCGUCUCACCUACGGGGUGAUGUUGAGGACAAGCAGGUGGCACUUAAACUUCGGCAGUAAAAUGAUACAUCUUGAAGGGGUGAUGGCUGCAGACACGCCGCUGCAUCAGCGCCUACACAGAUGAGCUGUACAGGGAUGCCCGCAGCCCUGAUGGAGGACUGUGUUUUCUUCUGGGCAACAGAAGCACAGCUCUUGCCAAGAGUGCUGGAAACCCGACGCCCUGCAGUGCCCCAGGGUUGUGCAGACGUGUGACGCUGAAGCUCCCUAAAGCAGGAGAGCAACCCUGCCUGAACUCUCUUCUUCCCAGCAUCACAGGCGGCCAACGAUUUUAAAAGCCAACAGCUCAACCAUUUUUGCACACACUAUGGCUGUCUGGAACACCCACGUUAAUGUCUCCUCAAGACAACGGAAGUCUUUCCUCUUGUGUGUGUGAGUGAGUGGGGCGGCGUGAGACUUGCCGUCGGCAGCCGUGGAUCCCGGCUCUGGCGCCGUCACGAACAGGCUGAUUUCUCUGGGCCAUCAUCUCUGUAUCUGUAAAAUGGGGAUCCCAAAAAUGCCUACUUCAGAGAGAACAAUGAAUAUGUACAUAAAGAUAUGGGAGAGUGCACCUUGUAAAUCCCCAAACCAAAAUGUUAUCAUAUUACUAAACUGUGAAA